UUAAAAGAAUAGGUUGUGUACUAAAGUUUGUGUUGUGUGUGGCGUGUAAAUGUCAUUCUUACCGUGGAAGGUUGGAGAAUGGUAAGUAACAUAUCGAUUCUGUCAGAGGAGAAAUAAGAAGCGUCAGCCUUUGCAACAUAAGGCUCUCGCUUAUCACCUUCAUGGACAGAAAAUACUUAGCUCUCUCUCAACCUGCGGUUUACACCUGACAUGCGUUAGUACUGUCUGGGUGAAGGGGAAAAGGACAAGAUGGAGGAAGGUGAACAGAAAAGACGCACCCCUUACUACUUCCGGGUUCUUCAUCAUCCAAUUUACCCGCGGGCCUGAAAAUGCAGCCCCCAGGGAAAAAAGCAGACCAACUGAGCAGGCGCCAUGUGACGUCAAUUUGAGGAAACGGAAACUUACUACGGAGACGCCCCUGGCACGCCCUUAUCCCACCCACUGCCCUCCCAUUUCCAAGCCCAGGACAUAAAAGUCGCCGUAGGCAGGCGCCAGCGCGAACUUCCCCGGCCCCAUUGCUUGUGGACCUCGCCCAAGAGCCCUGACCCGUUGGUCAAUAAAGUUCUUUCUUUCCUACCA